GAUGAAGAACGUAGCAAAAUGCGAUAAGUAAUGCGAAUUGCAGAAUUUCCGUGAGUCAUCGAAUCUUUGAACGCACAUUGCGCCCUUUGGUAUUCCUUAGGGCAUGCCUGUUCGAGCGUCAUUUAAACCUUCAAGCUCAGCUUGGUGUUGGGUGACUGUCCGCUUCACCGCGGACUCGCCUCAAAAUUAUUGGCGGCCGGUACAUUGGCUCUCGAGCGCAGCAGAAACGCGUAACUCGAGGUCCUCGUGCUGGCUCCCAGAAGCUAUCUUCACAAUUUUGACCUCGGAUCAGGUAGGGAUACCCGCUGAACUUAAGCAUAUCAAUAAGCGGAGGA
rnacentral:misc_RNA from 1 species